GCGAGCCGGGAGAGUACGAGGUCGGAGUAGCUGUCGUAUGGCGGCUUUAUGACGGAUGAAUGAGGAUGCAGGGAGAGGGACAAAACGGAGGAGGUGGAGGUGGGCUGAGUUUCUUCUGUUGACAAGAGUCGAAGUCUCUUGAAAACUGAAGCAGACACCACUUGAGGUGAAAAAGGACUGAGGGUGAAGGAGAAGAAGAAGAAGAUGAUGAUGAAGAUGUUAAUGGAAGGAAAUGGGCUUGGAGCUUUUCGAGCCAUGUAAAUGUUUGUGGUUUUUGCCGCAGCAGACAACAAACAAAGAAGACAAGUGAUGAGAAGUUUGGGAGAUGAGCAUGGGUUUAUUAUAUACACGUACGUCGAUCUGCAUGCAGGGCAUCAGUAGCGUAUUACUAUUAUUUAUUAAAGGUACAUAUCACAAAGGUCCAGGGGCGGAUUUAAAGGGGGGCACUGGGGGCACGGUCCCCCACUGCCCCCUUAAAUUCCUAUAAUACUCUUAUAAUUUUGACAUAAUUUUAGUGGUGUCUCUAGAAUUUUUUUUAAAAAAAAUAUAAAAGAAUGGGUCAUAAAAUUUAUAUCAUUCACUUUCCUCCUUUAAGAACCAAAUACCAAUUAUAUCAGUCAUUACUUUUGGUCCCCACUCCCCAAGUUCCCUUUACUCCUGUGGUCCCCUAUUUCACUUCACAACCCACGACUCCUCUUCUUCUGCACCCAACUAACUACUCUUUCUUUUUAUUACUUCAUCCAAUCAUCAUUAAUCAUUUACUUCCUUUGUCCCCCACUCUCCAAUUUUUCUUUGCUCUUCUGGCUCUUAGUUGUCCCCACUGAAAAUGGUCUCUCCCAUCAAAUAGUCCAAUCCUGGUUUUCCUGUCAUGAAAAUGGUGUUGUUGACUUCUUCACGCAGUCACGCAGUGUUCCAUUAAAGGAGUAAGCUUUUUGAAAACCAGGACCUGCUUUCUUCAGUUCAACUGCAAGAAACCAGUCCUUGAAGCUGACUUCUUUCCAAUUAAAUAACGUGAUACGGGGCACAAAGGAAGUAAAGGGACCUAGUCCGCCACUGAUUUGCAACUCUUUUCACCAAUUUUGGGAGACCAUCAAAAUUAGGUUCUAAACAAUUACUUCUUGUUAUUAUUUUAAAUUUGUUUGCAAAUAUAUUUCUAGAGCAUGAGACUAUUACUAUUUUAGAGAAAUUUGAAAAUUGAUUAGUUAAUGUAAUAACUAAUAAAUGGGUUAUUUGAUAAAUAUUUUAACUUGUGAAAUGGUGAUUUUAUAGAUUUAUAAUUUAUAAUUUAUUUUCCUUGAUUAGUUUCUUAUUUGGAGUUAAUGUAAUGAUGAAUAGAGGGCCAUUUGACAUAUAUUUUAACUUUUAAAUUAUUCUUGUAUGGAUCCUUUUGUCUAAUUAAAUUGAUUAGGUUCAUAUAUUGUGAUUAAUGAUUUGAUAUAGUAAUAAAUAAAUAAGUUGUGAUUUGAUAUAGUAAUGAUAUGUUGUGAUUAAUGAUUUAAUAAAUAACUUUAACUUGUAAAAUAGUUCUUGGAUAGAUUAUUAGAUUUUAUUGUACAUUUAAUAUUUUAAUUGGAUUAGUAUCUUAUAUAUUGAUUUUGAUUUCUUUAGCUAUGGAGAGAUAUUUCAAGAGGAAAUCAAUGGAAAAAGAGUCAUCUAAUAAAGAAGAAGCCAAGGAUAAUGAAAGUGCAAAAAAUGACAAUAAAAGAAGUUACUUGGAAAUUAACUUAGAUGAAUUACCUGCGGAUCCAGCCCAAAGAAAAAAAAUUGGGGAUUAUCAUCCAAACCUUCAAGAUGAAAUUCGGAGAUAUUGCUUACAAAAGGGACCAUGUCAACCUCAUGAGCAUGUUUUUCCACAAAGAAAGAUAGGAAAAAAGAUGCGUCGAUUUGUUCGGGGCUGGUUUGAUGAUUACAAGAAUUGGUUAGAAUAUAGUAUUGAAAAAGAUGCCGCUUAUUGCUUAUGUUGUUAUCUAUAUAGACCAGAUGUGGGUGAACAAUCUGGUGGUGAUAGUUUCAUUAAGGAAGGAUUCACAAAUUGGAAAAAAAAAGGAUAGAUUUGAUGUUCAUGUUGGUGGUCCUAAUAGUGCACACAAUCUGAGUUGGAGUAAAUGUCAAAGUUUAUUAAAUCAAAAUCAGCAUAUCGAAGUGGCAUUUUUUAAGCAAUCACAGAAAAUGAAGGCUGAGUAUCGGACUCGUUUAUUAGCCUCAAUAGAUUGUGCUAGAUUUCUCCUACAUCAAGGUUUGGCUUUUCGUGGUCAUGAUGAAUCUGAUACCUCUGAAAAUCAGGGAAAUUUUCUUGAACUUUUGCACUUCCUUACGGGUCAUAAUGAUGAUAUAAAGAAGGUUGUUCUUGAAAAUGCCCCUAAAAAUCUCAAACUCAUUGCUCCAGAUAUUCAAAAGGAUAUUUCAAAUGUUUUGGCGAGUGAGACUACAAUCAUUAUUGUAAAUGACAUUGGACAUGGAUUGUUUGCUAUUUUAUGUGAUGAAUCUCGUGAUGCAUCAACAAAGGAGUAAUUAGCAGUUGUUAUCCGUUACAUGGAUUCACAUGGAUAUGUGAUUGAGCGUUUUCUUGGUAUUCUACAUGUAAGAGAUACUACUGCUCUUUCACUUAAGAAAGCAAUUGAUGAUUUAUUUUCAAAGCAUGGUUUGAGCAUAUCACAAAUCCGUGGUCAAGGUUAUGAUGGUGCUAGUAACAUGCGAGGUGAAUAUAAUGGUUUAAAAACUUUGAUCAUGAAGGAAAAUGGUUCUGCAUAUUAUAUUCAUUGUUUUGCACAUCAGCUGCAAUUCUCACUUGUAAGGGUUGCAAAGAAACAUGUCCAAGUCUCUUCUAUGUAUAAUACAUUGUCUACCUUAGUGCAUGUUCUUGAAGGUUCAUCUAAAAGACAAGAAAUUCUUAGAGAACAACGCCUUAAGAAAGUCGUUGAUGAUCUAAUGACUGGAGAUCUUGUGAGUGGUCGGGGCUUAAAUCAAGAAACUAGCCUUCAAAGAGCUUGUGAUACACGUUGGGGUUCACAUUUUGGCUCGUUAUUAAAGUUGGUUCUUAUGUAUGAUUCUGUAAUAGAUGUUCUUUUGAUAAUUGAAAAUGAUGGCCUGGUGGAGCAAAGAGGUCAAGCAUAUGCACUUCUUAAUUCUUUGCAAUCUUUUGAAUUUGCAUUUAUUUUACACUUGAUGAAGAAAAUCAUGGGAAUAACGAAUGUACUAUCUGAAGCAUUACAAAGGAAGGAUCAAGAUAUUGUGAAUGCUAUGGGUCUGGUCAAAGUUUCUAAGCAACAGUUACAAGCUACUAGGGAAGAUGGAUGGGAUUUUUUACUUGAUGAAGUUUGUUUGUUUUGUGAAAAACAUGAGAUCAUCAUUCCGAAAAUGGAUGAAAUGUUCAUUACUAGUGGGAGAUCUCAAAGAAAAGUUCAGUAAAUUGCAAACCUUCACCACUAUCGAGUUGAGCUAUUUUGUGCUGUCAUAGAUUUACAACUCCAAGAACUCAACAAUCGUUUCAAUGAAAUCAAUAUGGAGUUGCUUUUGUGUAUGGCAUGCUUGAACCCAAGUGAUUCCUUUGCAGCAUUUAAUAAGAAAAAGUUGAUUCGUCUUGCAGAACAUUAUCCUUGUGAGUUUUCUAAGUUGGAUAUUCUUGCACUUGACACUGAAUUGGAUACUUAUAUUAAUGACUUGAAAUCAGCUAAGGAAUUUCUCGAUUUAAGAAAAAUCCCUGAUCUAGCUCAAAGGUUGGUGGAGACUAAGAGAGAUAUUGUGUAUCCAUUAGUUUAUAUGCUCUUAAAGUUGGCUUUGAUUUUGCCUGUUGCUACAGCUACAGUAGAAAGAGCUUUUUCAGCUAUGAAUAUAGUGAAGAAUCGGUUACGAAAUAGAAUGGGAGACACUUGCAUAAAUGAUUGUUUAGUUACUUAUAUUGAGAAAAAUAUACUUCGUGAAGUUGAAAAUGAGAAAGUUGUAAAUCGUUAUCAAAAUAUGAAAACUCGUCGUGAACAAUUGUAAAUAGUUUAGUUUGUUUUUGAAAUAAAAUUAUUAUUACAUUAAUAAUUUUGAGUUUGUCUUUUUAUGUUUUUCAUGGAAUAUACAUAUCAUUUGUACUUGUUAGUGAAUUUAUUUAUUUUUUGCUCAAAAAAUUAAAAAAAAAAGAGUAGAUAAAAAAUUUUAGUGUUAUUUUUGCUCCCACUGAGAUUUUUUUCUGGCUCCGGCACUGCAAAGGUCCAUAUCAUUUAAUUUCCAUAGAAAAGUAAAAGUUUGGUACCUUAACAUACACAAUUAAUCACCAGUCCUUCAAAUCAAGAUAUGUACAAUGUGUAAGUGAGAAUGUACAACUGAUAUUCCUAGUCUACUCUACGAGUAUCGUUACCGUAUGAAAGAAAAGGAAAGAACGAGAAGAUUUUAACAACCUUUAGUAGGCUUUUUUUUUUAAUCGACAUUUUGAGUUCUGGGAGGGAAGACUUUUUAGAGUCUUGCAGGAGUCCGUCUAAAGGGUAUUUGGAAAAUUCGACUGUCUAAUAAUCGAAUACAAUGGUGGUUCUUUCUUUCCUUUUUUUUCCUUUUUUUUUUUUUGAAUAUUUGGUACAUAGAGGUUCCAACUUUUACAAGGAGAAAGAAAAAUAGGAGAGUUUAAGGGUCAAGACCUUACGGUCAGUCACCUAAAAGCAUCCGUGCCAAUUGAGUUGAGUUUUGGGAACAAAAUUUUGGCCUUUCCAUUAUAGCAGGAUACAACUAAAUGCCCGGAUUAAUUAACUCAAUUUCCAUAAAUUUAAAAAAAAAGAGUAAGAAAUUGGUACCUCUGAUCAAUUCCAAGGGUAGAUAUAUAAUAUAAUUAUUAGUCCUUCAAAUGGAGACGAGUGUCAGUAGACUUAAAAGGAGUCCAUGAUAUUGAUAGUUGGUCUUUUGGUCACAAUAAUUAUUUCGAGAUGUUUGAUUCUUACUACCCGCCACCACUACUACCCGCCACCACCACCCACUCCUUCCUCCUUUCUCUUCCCCCUCUCUCUUCCCUUUCCCUCCCCCCGCCCCCCUUAAUCUGGCCGCAACCAAAGGCUGCGAUCUGGUCGCGGCCAGAAAGUCUGGUAGCGACUAGAUUGCGGCCUCUAGUCACAACUAGAGACCUUGAUCUGGUCUUUGGCAGAUUGAGGGAGGAAGAAAAUGGAGGGGGGGUAUUGGUGGUAGGCGGGGAUGGUGGUGGGUGGUGGGUGGUGGUGGCGGGUAGUAGUGGUGAUACGUGGAAAAUGUUAUAUAAUUCAAUUUAAAAAAAUUUUUUGUGUGUAUUUGUGAAUUAUUUUUUAUAUAUUGUAUGGAUAUGAUGUUUUUGAGUUGUUUUUAUUUGUGUAUUAUUCUAACAUUGUAUUUGAAAAUUUUAUUUUUGAAAAAUAGAUUUUUGGAUUUUUUGGUAGAAAAAUAUACUAUAUCAAUUUGAUGUAUGUGAGAUAAAAAUAAGUGUUUGAAAAUAUGAUCAUGAAAAAUAUAAAAAAAAUUCUGCAGAAAAACUUCAAGGAAUUUCUCGAGAAAAAGAAAUCCAAAAUCCUAAUUUUUUUUUCCUUUUGUUUUUAGAAAAGGAAAAAGUGCAAGCCAAAAAGCAAUAAAAUGGAUAACUUCUUUUCAUAUGAAUAUAUGAUGUUAAGUACUUUAUUUACUCAUAAAACCCAUAUUUUGGUUUAAGAAAAGCAAUACCUAAUGAAAUUGUAAAAUGAGAACGGUAACAAAGAUUAUAGUCUAAAGUACUCGUUUGAUAGGCUAGUGCAAUUUGGCGUUUCACUUGUACGCUUCAAAUGCACAUUAUCAAUCAGGCAUCCGGACGCUUGGCUAUGCAACUUGAACAAUCAUCACAUGUAGAACUGACUUUAUUCUAGUAUUUUAUAGGAAAAUAUGUACUCAAUUAGCCUGAAGUGAAUUAAAUCAUGAUUGUCAGCAUUUUAAACUUUUGAUGGUGAAGGCCUUAAUUGCUUGACAACUCCCAUGAUUAUUAUGGCUAAACUACUCAAGUUGCCUCGUUAUACUUCCAAAAAAAAAAAAAAUCUCAAUUCAAUCUUAACACUAAGAAGUGACUUGAUUUAAUCCCUUGGAAAUAACUCAUGUCAUUUUUAUGUUGAAUUAGUAGCCAAAAGAUUUAAUCGUGUAUUUUCAAUAGAACGGGGUGUAUGUGUUAUAUCAACGAUAUAUUGUUGAUGAUCAGACUAUAUGAAUUCCAAUUCUUUCAGCAAAGGUGAUAUCCAAACAACAAAAUUUCUUCAAAGACAUCUAAUAAAGAGAUUACCAAGCACCCAUGUUAUUGUUUAAGCAAUAUUAGUAUGUUUUCAUAAACAGCAUUUUAUUUGGGUUGAAAUCAAAUCAACACCUAUAUGCAUUUCAUAAACAGCAUUUUAUGAGGGAUGAAUGAGGAUGUAGGGAGAGGGACAAAACGGAGGAGGUGGAGGUGGGCUGAGUUUCUUCUGUUGAGAAGAGUCGAAGUCUCUUGAAAACCGAAGCAGAUACCGCUUGAGAUGAAAAAGGACUGAGGGUGAAGAAGAGGAAGGAGAGGAUGAUGAAGAUGUUAACGGAAGGAAAUGGGCUUGGAGCUGUUCGAGCCAUGUAAAUGUUUGUGGUUUUUGCCGCAGCAGACAACAAACAAAGAAGAGAAGUGCUGAGAAGUUUGGGAGAUGAGCAUGGGUUUAUUAUAUACACGUACGUCGAUCUGCAAGCAGGGCAUCAGUAGCGUGUUACUAUUAUUUAUUAAAGGUCCAUAUCAAAAAAAAAAAAAAUUUUUUGAUAACAAAGGUCCAUAUCAAUUUAAUUUCCAUAGAAAAGUAAAAGUUUGGUACCUUAACAUACAAGAAGGAGAGUACAUACACAAUUAAUCACCAGUCCUUCAAAUCAAAGAUAUGUACAAUGUGUAAGUGAGAAUGUACAACUGAUAUUCCUAGUCUACGAGCAGGGGCGGAGCCAGAAAAAAUUCUUAGUGGGGCAAAGCAACACUAAAAUUUUUUACCUACUAUUUUUCUAGUUUUUUAAACAAAAAAAAAAUUCACCAACAAGUACAAAUGAUGCAUAUAUUCCAUGAAAAACAUAAAAAGACAAAUUCAAAAUUAUUAAUGUAAUAAUAAUUUUAUUUCAAAAAUAAAUUAAACUAUUUACAAUUGCUCACUGCGAGUUUUUAUAUUUUGAUAACUAAUUUGGUUGUGGAAGUAAGAAUGGCUCUCGGUUGUGGAGGGAAAAUGGGGGACUAGUGGAGGGAAGGGAAAUUGGAAAGUGGGGACAAAGGAAGUGAAUGAUAUGAUUGGAUGAAUUGAUCAAGAGAAAGAGUAACUAGCUGCUUGGUUGUGGAAGGUAGUGGCUCUCGGUUGUGGGGGGAAAAUGGGGGACCAGAUGAGGGAAGGGAAAUUGAGGGAUAGGGUCCAAAGAAAGUGAAUGAUAUGAUUGGUACUUGCUAGUUAAAAUGAAAAUGAUUUUUUUUAGCUUAUUUCAAAUGAAAUUUGUGCCCCAGGUAUCAUUUUAGAAUUUUAGUUUAUGAACUAAUUUAAAAAAAUCACGUAAUUCUUUCAUAUUCUUCUAAAAAAAAAACUGUAGGGGUACAUUUAAAAUUAUAUUAAAAUUGUACAAGUAUUAUAGGAAUUUAAGAGAGACAGUGGGGUCCCGUUGCCCCCAGUGCCCCCAUCAAAUUGGAAUUUACGGUGGAAACAAGGUAGAUGCGCCGACGGCAGCUGGUGUUUCAUUUUCAUGAUGCAGACUGGGGAAAUUUUGGAGCAUUAUGCAUCCAUGCCAUUAGAUAUAUAGUGGGCUUGAUGUUAUACAAUGCAAAUUUUCUUUAAAAAAAAACUUUAAAUCAAAAUAAAUCUUGACCUAUCAAUUAUUGAUUUAAGCUAUCAAAACAUUGGCAUGUAACAUGCAAAUAAUCGUUGCUCAUAGGGCAUCAUUCCUUUCCGUCUCACACGCAGAUUAGUCCAUUGGUGGUUCUUUCUUUCCUUUUUUUUUUUUUUUUUUGAAUAUUUGGUACAUAGAGGUUCCAACUUUUACAAGGAGAAGGAAAAAUAGGAGAGUUUAAGGGUCAAGACCUUACGGUCAGUCACCUAAAAGCAUCCGUGCCAAUUGAGUUGAGUUUUGGGAACAAAAUUUUGGCCUUUCCAUUAUAGCAGGAUACAACUAAAUGCCCGGAUUAAUUAACUCAAUUUCCAUAAAUUUAAAAAAAAAGAGUAAGAAAUUGGUACCUCUGAUCAAUUCCAAGGGUAGAUAUAUAAUAUAAUUAUUAGUCCUUCAAAUGGAGACGAGUGUCAGUAGACUUAAAAGGAGUCCAUGAUAUUGAUAGUUGGUCUUUUGGUCACAAUAAUUAUUUCGAGAUGUUUGAUUCUUCGUAAUGUGGAAUAACUUUCCUCCAGACAUUCUAAAGAAACAUGAUGGAACAAGUUGCUGUUUGUGAGGUCGUAUUAAUCCUGGUGGGAACCUCUCUUGCGCAAGGAUUUUUGGGUAAUGAAUUGAUCUUUCCACAAAAACAAGUAUUUUUAUGUUUUCCUUCAUUUGUGUUCAAUUCAAUUCUCUAUAAUAUAUAUUAAUAGUACUAUUUAUCUAGAGGGGGCACCUUCAUGAAUGGACUAUCUCUAGAGGUUCUCCUUCACAUUUGACGCGCAGAUUACGCCAUUAGGCAAUUCGGGCGACUGAGCGGUCAACACAAGGCGACAUCAAAACAGUUGCGCAUUUGGCCCACCAGUACUAUGCAACCAAUCAAACUACUCCGGUCUUGAUUUAUUUUCUUCAGUUUCCAUUUCAUCUACUUCUCCACUGAACCUCUAGAGAAAGCUCAGUCGUUAACUUUGCUUGUCUGUUCAAACGUCUAACAUCAAAAUUAGAAUUUAAAUCAAAACCUUAAAGUGGGAACAAAGUGCCAUCUUUUAAAAACAAAAAAAAAACUAAUACAUCGAAACGUAAAAUUGAUAUAAUAGAUGGGAGAAAUUUCUUCGAAACUCCAAAAUGUGAUUCUCGAGUAGAUUAAUGCAAGUCUUAUAAAUUGAUUACAUUUUCAAUCAAUUCAAUUUCAGGGUAAACAUGCAACAUGCCCAAGUAUAGCUCUGCCCUGGUUUUCACGGUACAACCACUUUUUCGUUCUCAAAGAAGUCAUUAGCAUACUAAAGAAAGAAAAGGACCUAAAAGGAAAAAGAAAAGGAUCUAAUUAUACUAAGAAUCACAAAAGUUAGUUUGGUUGAGAAAAGGAAGUAGUACUUUAGAACAAACAAAGGUAGACGAUGAGAUCCUCAAAAUAUCAUAACUAUGAAAACAUUUAGUAUAUAUUUAUAUAUAUGAAGAACAACAUUUAUUUGGGUUGAAAUCAACUAUAUAUACAUAUAAAUAUAUAUAUAUAUAUAUAUAUAUAUUCUAGUAGUAGCACUAGAGGGAGGGAGUGCUCUAACAUUUAUUGGCAAGGUCGUAAGUGACCCGCAUCCCUUGCUGCUGUAUAUUCCCAAGAAGAAAUCCAAAAUCCUAAUUUUUUUUUCCUUUUGUUUUUAGAAAAGGAAAAAUGAAAGCCAAAAAGCAAUAAAAUGGAUAACUUCUUUUCAUAUGAAUAUAUGGUGUUAAGUACUUUAUUUACUCAUAAAACCCAUAUUUUGGUUUAAAAAGAAAAGCAAUACCUAAUGAAAUUGUAAAAUGAGAACGGUAACAAAGAUUAUAGUCUAAAGUACUCGUUUGAUAGGCUAGUGUAAUUUGCCGUUUCACUUGUACGCUUCAAAUGCACAUUAUCAAUCAGGUAUCAGGACGCUUGGCUAUGCAACUUGAACAAUCAUCACAUGUAGAACUGACUUUAUUCUAGUAUCCUAUAGGAAAAUAUGUACUCAAUUAGCCUGAAGUGAAUUAAAUCAUGAUUGUCAGCAUUUUAAACUUUUGAUUGCGAAGGCCUUAAUUGCUUGACAACGCCCAUGAUUACUAUGGCUAAACUACUCAGGUUGCCUCUUUUUAUACUUCCAAAAAAAAAAAAUUUAUCUCAAUUCAAUCUUUAACACUAAGAAGUGACUUGAUUUAAUCCCUUGGAAAUAACUCAUGUCAUUUUUAUGUUGAAUGAGUAGCCAAAAGAUUGAAUCGUGUAUUUCCAAUAGAACGGGGUGUAUGUGUUAUAUCAACGAUAUAUUGUUGAUGAUCAGACUAUAUGAAUUCCAAUUCUUUCAGCAAAGGUGAUAUCCAAACAACAAAAUUUCUUCAAAGACAUAUAAUAAAGAGAUUACCAAGUACCCAUGUUAUUGUUUAAGCAAUAAACAGCAUUUUAUUUGGGUUGAAAUCAAUUCAACACCUAUAUGCUUUUUAACAUUUAUUUGGGCUGAAACCAUACAUCUUGUUGGCAAGGUCGUAAGUAACCCGAAACCCCUGCUGCUGCGUGUUGCCAAUUACUGAGCGAGGUUGAGAAGUGGUCUGGAAAGCCAAACAGAACGUGCCGUCGGAAUCAGCACGAAACAGGUAAUUUUGAGGUUUCAGCGGCAGCGUCUUGCCCCCGGAGAACUGAAACGACAUCAUUGGGAAGCCAUCUCUGGUAGGCGUAGAGGAUAGAUCAUAACAAGUGUCGAGACCACCGAUCCCAGCGGCGGGAGGCAACUUUUUAGCGUACUUAACAAAGGUGUCGCGGACCGAGUUAUAUACCUGAGCUGGCAACGCUGUGAUGGUGGUACCCGAGUCGACGAUGAUUCCCCCACGCCCAUCUUCGCCUAUUUGAUAAGCCGAUGCAGGAAUGGGCACUUGUUCUCCAUUAAUGGUGAUCCCCGUGAGUUCCACGUAGUAAUAAAUCUCAGAUUUUGGGUUCAUAAUCAAAGGAACGAGGAUUGAGUCACCAGGUGGAGCUGAGUUAAACUCGAGAGUCGAGGACGAGCUGGAGUCCAAAUCCACGAGGCAGUAGGAGAAAGACUUCGCCUGAAUUUGAGAAGGAAAGCCUACUGCAGUGCCCCCAAGGCCGAGUAUGCCAGCUGCCUUGCCAAAUUGGCCUUGAUUCGCGUGCCCGCACCCGAUAGCCACUUUCUGAACCGAACCCGAACUCCCGAACGACACCGUUUCAGUGGCAAAUUCUCCAAUACUGAUGGAAUUAUCCCCGUACAACGCUCCGUAGAUGCAAGUGUUGUUUCGGCCGCACUGGUAAUUCUGGCGGCUCAAGGCGGUGCACUGCUGCGAUGUGCAGGAUAAAGGGCUGUAAGACGAGGAUCCGGAUGGGUCGAAUAUCGGGUCGGUUUGGGCGUAGCACUGACCGCAGGGCAGGCAUUGGAGCCAGUUGAUUUGGCUGCCCGUAUCCGCUAUCAGGUAGUAUUCUUUCACGGGUUGGCCCACUCCGACCCGAGCCACGUACCCUCCGCCAGACGGAGUCAGCGGAGCUUCGAGGUCCUCCGGUUGGACUUGGACGUCGGGUUUGACGUCAUGAGGGCGGUUGAAAGCGGAGAGAGCCCGCUCAAUGUUGGAGUUGAUGAGCUUGGCUCGGGCCCGGUCACCUGCGAGCCGGGAGAGUACGAGGUCGGAGUAGCUGUCGUAUGGCGGCUUUAUGACGGAUGAAUGAGGAUGCAGGGAGAGGGACAAAACGGAGGAGGUGGGCUGAGUUACUUCUGUUGAGAAGAGUCGAAGUCUCUUGAAAACUGAAGCAGAUACCGCUUGAGGUGAAAAAGGACUGAGGGUGAAGGAGAAGAAGAAGAAGAGGAUGUUAAUGGAAGGAAAUGGGCUUUGAGCUUUUCGAGCCAUGUUUGUGGUUUUGGAGCAGAAGAGAAGAUGGAAGAGAA
rnacentral:lncRNA from 1 species